GUCCCGGUAGUUUAGUGGUUAGAAUACUGGACUUUCAAUUCAGAGACCUGAGUUCGAUUCUCAGUCGGGAUACCA
rnacentral:tRNA from 1 species